rnacentral:rRNA from 1 species
UAACGACUCUCGGCAACGGAUAUCUCGGCUNUCGCAUCGAUGAAGAACGUAGCGAAAUGCGAUACUUGGUGUGAAUUGCAGAAUCCCGUGAACCAUCGAGUCUUUGAACGCAAGUUGCGCCCGAAGCCAUUAGGCCGAGGGCACAUCUGCC